AUUGAACGCUGGCGGCAGGCCUAACACAUGCAAGUCGAGCGGAUGAAGGGAGCUUGCUCUUGGAUCCAGCGGCGGACGGGUGAGUAAUGCAUAGGAAUGUGCCUGGUAGUGGGGGAUAACGUCCGGAAACGGGGGUUAAUACCGCAUACGACCUGAGGGUGAAAGCGGGGGACCUUAGGACCUCACGCUAUCGGAUGAGCCUAGGUCGGAUUAGCUAGUUGGUGGGGUAAAGGCCUACCAAGGCGACGAUCCGUAACUGGUCUGAGAGGAGGAUCACUCAAACGGGACCUGAGAAAGGCCCCGGAUCCUUAGGGGAGGCACAGGUGGGAAAUAUGGGCCAUGGGGCGAAAGCCUGAUCCAGCCAGGCGGCGUGGGUGAAGAAGGGCUUCGGUUGGUAAAGCACUUUAAGUUGGGAGGAAGGGUAGUAAGUUAAUACCUGGCUGUUUGGACGUUACCAAAAGAAAAAGCACGGGCAAACCUCGU
rnacentral:rRNA from 1 species